AGCCUUGUAUUCAUUUGUGUGAUUAUAGAAUGCAAUUCUGUAGGGGUAAGUUAAAAGGACUUACCAAGGCCU
rnacentral:tRNA from 2 species